UGGGAGGGUAAUUUGAAAUUUCAAACUUUUAGGGACAUGAGAUUCGCAUUUAAUGUUAUCAGACCUUCAAUUCUUCUCUCUCUCAAAUAUCAAUUGAAACCAAAAUCCAAACCCAACAAACUCAAAAUUAGGGUUUCAAAAACACAAAUCAAAUAAAAAACAACAAAACGAGAGAUUUCUGCAACUCGAUAUCGAUUCACAGCUGGUACUCACUCUCUACUGGAUUAAUCACGUUUCUGGCCACAUUGUCUGUAUGGAUACUGCCAAGACAAGUUUGGGUGGGGAGCUCUCAAAUAUUGUUUGUAGGAUCAAUUGGGAAGAACCGCUCUAUUAUCUGGGAUUUUGUUCUUAAUGGUGGGGCUCUAUGCAGAUAGUGUUCUAAUGGUGGUUCAGUCAAGAACUCCACCGCCAUCGAUGAUGGGCUUUCCGAAUAUUCCAACGUCUUUUGAUGGUUAUUCCUGUCUACUGUUCAAAUUAGGACCGUUGCAGCUUACGAGAAAAGGGUUGUCUCUGGCGAGUACAACAACUUGCUUAACUUGUUCUUCCUCUCUGAAGAAAGCAUCCAGAUCCUUGAAAAGGAGAUUUUACAUUUAGAAAGUGUCCAACUUUUAGUUUCUACAGAUUCAAAGGAGUUGUUACAUAUUGUGUGUAAAAUGAAGCGAUUGAAUGGAGUUAGCAAACAAGAUACAAAACCGACACUAAUGUCGAAAGUAUGGGAAGACGAGAAUGAGAAAUAGCUUGAUCAUCAUAGGCUAGAGAAUAUUAAUUCGGAACAUUCAGAUGAGACAACUGAUCCAUCACCAGAUUUUGUUAUGACACUUUUACGGUACCAAAAAGAAUGGUUAGCAUGGGGAUUAAAACAAGAAGAGUCUGCUUCACGAUGUGGAAUUCUUGCCGAUGAAACGAGCACUUUGUCGUGAACUGUGAAGCAAUCAAACAGUGAAGCAAUCAAAACACUGAAAUCGUUACUGAAAGAAUGCCAACCGUUGACUCCAACAGGUCCCGAUCCAAAGUGGUGGUACAUGUGGAGGAUCGGUUCUCGACCAUCAACAACCAAGUUUCAGGUUCAGCAUAGUUUUUUGAUCACUUUAAUUAACCUAAUUAUUGGUUUCUUUGAUUAUAGGUGUUAAUUUGCAUUUUUUUUUUGUUUACGAGCUGAAUUCUGAGCCGGUUAUACCCGAGGGUUUUCCCGAAUGGAAGAGACUAUGGAUUCAUGGGGUUCUAAAAUGGUGUCCGCUAUAAAGCGGAGAACCCGUUUUUUCGUGUUUUAGUUUGAUAGUGAGAGCAUCGGUGCAUUUUUAGCUGCUUAUGCUCUCAAGAAGCUGGUUUAUGGUUGAUAUGAGAGUUGGAGUGCACAUUUCAGUUAACUCUACUUUCUUAUGUUCUGGUUUUCUUCUCGAUCUUUACUGCUAUGAACGGAAUUCCAUUGAUUAUUCCACUUUAGUGUUUUCUUCUCGAUCUUUACUGCUAUGAACGGAAUUCCAUUGAUGAUUCCACUUUAGUGUUUUCUUCUCGAUCUUUACUGCUAUGAACGGAAUUCCAUUGAUGAUUCCACUUUAGUGUACGUUUAGUCUUUUUAUCAUUCAUUUAUGUUCAUAUUUAAGGCUUUGUUAACAAUGGACGUUCACGAAACACCUUUUUGAUGUUCAUCUUAAUCCUUCAUAUGUUUUUUAAUCCACAAUUUCAAAGCGGAA